rnacentral:tRNA from 1 species
GGGCAGGUUGCGGAGCGGCCAAUCGCACCAGACUGUAAAUCUGGCGGCUUAUGCCUUCGGAGGUUCGAAUCCUCCCCUGCCCA